AGAGGCGGAGCGACGGCCGCUGGAAGAGCCGGAGGUUAACGGCGUCAGCGCCAAGCUGGAAUACUUAACCUUCACUGCUGGGGCGCACAGGUCCGGGUCCAGCACCAUCCCCGAAACCUUCCCCCUCGGCUCUAAGAGCGCCCCCACCUGUUACAGAGGGAACUGGGUCCCAGGAAGGCUCCAAUUUGGCCCAGUCCUGUUUCACCCCCUAAGCAAAAAUACAAAUAAGCACAUCAUUUUUUUCUUAAUAAAUUUAUUCACAAAAAGUGAAAUUGCAGAGGGUCUGGGGGCUGUACAUGGGCAAGGGCUUGGUGAGCUCUGUACAUGGGGCUGGGAGACAAGGGAGCCUCCAGGUGGAAGGGUACUUUUUA